UAGGGAAUCUUCGGCAAUGGACGAAAGUCUGACCGAGCAACGCCGCGUGAGUGAAGAAGGUUUUCGGAUCGUAAAACUCUGUUGUUAGAGAAGAACAAGGACGUUAGUAACUGAACGUCCCCUGACGGUAUCUAACCAGAAAGCCACGGCUAACUACGUGCCAGCAGCCGCGGUAAUACGUAGGUGGCAAGCGUUGUCCGGAUUUAUUGGGCGUAAAGCGAGCGCAGGCGGUUUCUUAAGUCUGAUGUGAAAGCCCCCGGCUCAACCGGGGAGGGUCAUUGGAAACUGGGAGACUUGGGUGCAGAGGAGGGGGGUGGAAUUCCAUGUGUGGCGGUGAAAUGCGUAGAUAUAUGGAGGAACACCAGUGGCGAAGGCGGCUCUCUGGUCUGUAACUGACGCUGAGGCUCGAAAGCGUGGGGAGCAAACAGG
rnacentral:rRNA from 1 species